CAAUGGGGGCAACCCUGAUCCAGCAAUGCCGCGUGUGUGAAGAAGGCCUUCGGGUUGUAAAGCACUUUUGUCCGGAAAGAAAUGGCUCUGGUUAAUACCUGGGGUCGAUGACGGUACCGGAAGAAUAAGCACCGGCUAACUACGUGCCAGCAGCCGCGGUAAUACGUAGGGUGCGAGCGUUAAUCGGAAUUACUGGGCGUAAAGCGUGCGCAGGCGGUUUUGUAAGACAGGCGUGAAAUCCCCGAGCUCAACUUGGGAAUGGCGCUUGUGACUGCAAGGCUAGAGUAUGUCAGAGGGGGGUAGAAUUCCACGUGUAGCAGUGAAAUGCGUAGAGAUGUGGAGGAAUACCGAUGGCGAAGGCAGCCCCCUGGGACGUCACUGACGCUCAUGCACGAAAGCGUGGGGAGCAAACAGGAUUAGAUACCCUGGUAGUCCACGCCCUAAACGAUGUCAACUAGUUGUUGGGGAUUCAUUUCUUCAGUAACGUAGCUAACGCGUGAAGUUGACCGCCUGGGGAGUACGGUCGCAAGAUUA
rnacentral:rRNA from 1 species